AUUGAACGCUGGCGGCAGGCCUAACACAUGCAAGUCGAGCGAGCGGCGGACGGGUGAGUAAUGUCUGGGACACUGCCUGAUGGAGGGGGAUAACUACUGGAAACGGUAGCUAAUACCGCAUACCAUCAGAUGUGCCCAGCUGGGAUAGCGAGUAGGUGGGGUAACGGCUCACCUAGGCGACGAUCCCUAGCUGGUCUGAGAGGAUGACCAGACACACUGGAACUGAUACACGGUCCAGGCGCCGACGGGAGGCAGCAGGGGGUAAUAUUGCACAAUGGGCGCAAGCCUGAUGCAGCCAUGCCGCGUGUGUGAAGAAGGCCUUCGGGUUGUAAAGCACUGUCAGCGGGGAGGCGUUACCCGCAGAAGAAGCACCGGCUAACUCCGUGCCAGCAGCCGCGGUAAUUC
rnacentral:rRNA from 1 species